UUUAAGGUCUAGCCUGCCCAAUGAGAAUUUAAAUGGCCGCAGUAUUUUGACUGUGCAAAGGUAGCAUAAUUAUUAGUUUUUUAAUUGAAAGCUUGUAUGAAUGGUUGGACGAGAUAAAAUCUGUCUUUAUUUAAAUUAAAAUGGAAUUUAACUUUUAAGUCAAAAGGCUUAAAUUUUUAUAAAAGACGAGAAGACCCUAUAGAUCUUUAUUUGAUUAAUAUUUUGAUAAUUUAGGAUUAUUUUAAUUCAAAGUUUUAAUUAAAUUUUAUUGGGGUAAUAUAAAGAUUAAAUAAAUUCUUUUUAUUAAUUACAUUAAUUUAUGAAUAUAUGAUCCAAUAUUAUUGAUUAUAAGAUUAAGUUACCUUAGGGAUAACAGCGUAAUUUUUUUGGAGAGCUCAUAUCGAUAAAAAAGUUUGCGACCUCGAUGUUGGAUUAAAAAUUAUUUUGGGUGCAGAAGCUCAAAAUUUUGGUCUGUUCGACCAUUAAAUUUUUACAUGAUCUGAGUUCAGACCGGCGUAAGCCAGGUCGGUUUCUAUCUUUAUUUAAUUAAAAUAUUUUAGUACGAAAGGACCAAAUAUUUAAUAUAAUAAUAUUUAUUUUUUG
rnacentral:rRNA from 1 species